UUAAUACUCCCUCCGUCCGGAAAUACUUGUCCUAGAAAUGGAUGUAUCUAGACUUAUUUUAGUUAUAGAUACAUCCAAUUUAUCCAUUCUGAGAACAAAUAUUUCCCGCUGGAGAGGGAGUACCUA
rfam:Triticum aestivum genome assembly, contig: Triticum_aestivum_CS42_TGACv1_scaffold_249020_3DL